rnacentral:rRNA from 1 species
GACGAACGCUGGCGGCGUGCUUAACACAUGCAAGUCGAACGAGUGGCGAACGGGUGAGUAAUACGUUGGUAACCUGCCCUCUUUCUGGGAUAAGCCUUGGAAACGGGGCAUAAUACCGAAUAAUGGGGGAUGGGCUCGCGGCCUAUAAGGUUGUUGGUGGGGUGAUGGCCUACCUAGGCGGUGACGGGUGGCCGGCCGGAGAGGGUGACCGGCCAAAUUGGGACUGGGAAACGGCCCAGAUUCCUACGGGAGGAGGCAGUGGGGGAUAUGGCACAAUGGGCAAAAGCCUAAUGCGGCGACGCCGCGUGGGGGAUGAAGGCUUUCGGGUGUUAAACCUCUUUCGCUAUCGAAAGGGUAGGUGGAGAAGAAGCGCCGGCUAACUACGUGCCAGCAGCCGCGGUAAUUC